rnacentral:lncRNA from 1 species
GCAUUAUCACUUCUGACAGUUUCUACAGUGGCAUUAAAUUUUGUUUUGACCAUACAUAUAAAGGACUUGAUAAGGCUGAAAGCAUUACUUUUAGAUCCCAGUAAAUGUGUCCAGGUUGCUCUAGAGAAAUCAUCAACUAUAGAAAGGAAAUAUUUACAACCAGAAGAAGUAGGGGUGUGAUAGGGGUCCCAAGUAUCCACAUGAAUAAGCUGGAAAGGUCUACAAGUACUGAUGGAACUGUCAGGAAAAGGUAAUCUAGUUUGCCUAGCCAUGGGACAAACAGAACAGGAAAAAGGGUGUUUAGAAGCAAAAGGGAAAGAUAAAGCAGAAAUGUGCUUCAUGUGUGCAAAAGGAAUGUGAGCCAGUCUUAAAUGCCAAAUGUAGUUCAUGUCAUUAUCAUCAAAUUUAUUAUGACAAGUAUAACUGUUUACAUUGGAAGAUAAAGCAACAAGAUUUAGAUCAGAAGAACAAUCAAGAUUACAAGAAUCUUUAUUAGAGCAUACAGAAUUGAAAGAAGAGCAAUUAACAGAAGAAGAUGAAGGGGGCACCCAAGCAAAUUUGUACAUACCAGCCUCCUCUUUACCAAGAUCCAGAGGCAUCUUCAGAGAAGGGGCCUGUAACAUGUGAAGGAAAUAAGAAGUUGCAGUAAAUAGAACAUACAGUGCAACUGUUUCACCAAUUUGUGGACAGAAAUCAAAUUGUGUUUAAAAGAAGGGACAAACAGUACAUUAUGAAGAGUAAUGGAAGGAGUUAAAGCAAAAGAACCAGUUGAAGUUACUUUUACUUUGUAUCCAUUAGGAAGGGUAACAAGAUAAGGUACAAGUAAAGGUGUGAUAUUGAAGAGUAAUUGUUUAUUAGAUGUCAUGUGGUCAGAAGCUCCAGAAUCUAUUCUCCAGGAAACAAAAGCAAUAUGAGUAAGUAAGCAGAUUUUGGAAUUAGAAACAGGAAUCUCAGUAAGCACAGUACAAGCAAAGUUGGCACCACCAUAUAGUAGGGGAUGGCUGAGCAGGAGAAGUCUGAGCAGUGGAUUCACCCAAAUUGGACUGUUGGAGCAGAUUCAUCAACUGAUCAUAAUGGUGUUUGCUCAACCCAGGAAUAGCAGAAUUAUGUCCAUCCACAUGCUAGACAGGUGAAUAACCCUCAGUAUGAAUUCCAGAGGCAGGAGAAUUAUGGCCAGCAGAAUAAGGAGAGGAUGUGAAGUCAACACCAGUGGUGACAUGAGCAGCAAUGGGUCUCCACAUGCUGGACAGGUGAAUAACCCUCAGUAUGAACUCCAGAGGCAGGAGAAUUAUGGCCAGCAGAAUAAGGAGAGGAUGUGAAAUCAACACCAGUAGUGACAUGAGCAGCAGUGAGUCUCUUGCCUUCGUUAAACCUGAUGCUUUGAGGAAAACCAUAAAGUUUGUAGCACUUAUCAAUUAAGUGCCCAGACUUCUUGGAAUAUCUACAGAAGAGGGGUCCUCUAGACUGAUCAAAACUAACCCUCUGGGCAUACUAUCUGGGAGGAGGAGAGUUGAGCAAGGGAGCUGGACUGAAGGAAGGUGUGGAAGGUUUAUGUGUAUUGACAUUAAAGGACAUAGAAUCAGGAUUGAACUGGGAGACAGACUGAACUUGUCUUUGUUUUUCAUCAUUGAGGAGAAUGUUAUGGACAUUGUCAAGACUAGGAGGAGGUUGCAUAAUUAACAGGUUGCUCCUCACCCCCAUAUAUGUCUCAUUAAGACCCAUGAGGAAUUGAAAUACCUUAUUUUCCUCAUCCUCCUUUAUAAUGCCAGAUCUGGCAUCACAGAUACAUCUCUGUCCAUGAUUUGGGCUCAUUGUCUCUAACUCAUCCUAUAACCCUUUGCGUUUGUUGAAAUAGGAGGCUAUAUCUAUCGAUCCUUGAGAAGAAUGAGAAAGUUCACGUUUCAGUUCAAAAAUUUUGGUCCUAUUGGCUGUGCCAUAUCUGGCUUCGAGUUGUGACCAUAUACUCUGUGCAGUCUCAGAGUAUUGAACACUUUCAGCAAUUUGAGGGGACAGAGAGGCAGUCAACCAGGGGCAGUCUCAAAGUAUUGAACACUUUCAGCAAUUUGAGGGGAUAGAGAGGCAGUUAACCAGGAGAUGACCAUGUUAUUGCAUCUGUCCCAUAGUCUCUGUUCAGCCAAAUUAGUGGUUGGUCUAGGACAAGAUCCAUCAACAAAAGAAAUUGUGUUCUUAGCAGAUAAGGCGACUAUCACCUUUUUCCUCCAACCCCCAUAGCCAUUACCCGAGAAGGGGAUAGGAACUAAAGAAAUUCUGGAGACAUCAGAAGAGUAAACAAAUAGGGGAUUUGUAGGGUCAAUAGG